rnacentral:rRNA from 1 species
UACGUAGGGUGCAAGCGUUAAUCGGAAUUAUCUGGGCGUAAAGCGUGCGCAGGCGGCUAUGCAAGACAGAUGUGAAAUCCCCGGGCUCAACCUGGGAACUGCAUUUGUGACUGCAUGGCUAGAGUACGGUAGAGGGGGAUGGAAUUCCGCGUGUAGCAGUGAAAUGCGUAGAUAUGCGGAGGAACACCGAUGGCGAAGGCAAUCCCCUAGACCUGUGACUGACGCUCAUGCACGAAAGGCGUG